GAGGACUGCCAGCAGGGCAUGAGCCUGAGCCUCAGCCAUGCGCACUCACGUGAGAGGUAGCUCAGUUCCAUUGCAUUUCUGAAGACAAAGGAUUUCUCCGGUUGAAACUUUAUUGCGGAUUUAUGAUAAAAACAUUCUAAAGAUUGAUUCUAUACGUCUUUUGACAUGUUUCUACGAACUGUAAUGGAAUUUUUUUAGUUUUCGUCUGACCUGCGCGUCGUGAAUUUGGAUUUGUGAACUGAAGGCGCGAACAAAAGGGAGGACAUAAAGGAUCGACAUAAAGGAUCGACUUUAUCGAACAAAACAAACAUUUAUUGUGGAACUGGGAUUCCUGGGAGUGCAUUCUGAUGAAGAUCAUCAAAGCCAGAGACCGGAUGAAGAACUGAGCCAUCAAUGAUGAUGAGCUGUGACACCUAGAGACCGGAUGAAGAGCUGAGCCAGCAAUGAUGACAAGCUGAGACAGACAGGCAUCAUCUCCACGUAUCCUUUCGGCCCUGUUUUACCACUCUGAAAUUCAGAUGAUGUCGGAAGUUUACAUACACUACUAAGGUUGGAGUGAUUAAAACAAAUUUCUUGUUAACAAACUAUAGUUUUGGCAAGUUGGUUAGGACAUCUAUUUUGUGCAUGACACAAGCAAUAUUUCCAACAAUUGUUUACAGGCAGAUUAAUUAAUUUAUAAUUCACUGUAUCACAAUUCCAGUGGGUCAGAAGAUUACAUACACUAAGUUGAAUGUGCCUUUAAACAGCUUGGAAAAUUCCAGAAAAUGAUGUCAUGGCUUUAGAAGCUUCUGAUUGACGAAUUGACAUAAUUUGAGUCAAUUGGAGGUGUACCUGUGGAUGUAUUUCAAGGCCUACCUUCAAACUCAGUGCCUCUUUGCUUGACAUCAUGGGAAAAUCAAAAGAAAUCAACAAAGACCUCAGAAGAAAAAUUGUAGACCUCUACAAGUCUGGUUCAUCCUUGGGAGCAAUUUCCAAACGCAUGAAGGUACCACGUUCAUCUGUAUAAACAAUAGUAGGCAAGUAUAAACACCAUGGGACCACACAGCCGUCAUACCGCUCAGGAAGGAGACGCGUUCUGUCUCCUAGAGAUGAGCGUACUUUGGUGCGAAAAGUGCAAAUCAAUCCCAG
rnacentral:lncRNA from 1 species